ACGACCAUACCAUGCUUAAUAUACCGGUUCUCGUUAGAUCACCGAAGUCAAGCACCAUUGGGCGCCGGUCAGUACUCCAGGUGGGUGACCAGCUGGGAACGCCUGCGUGCCGU